GUCGAGAAUAAUUCACAAUGGACGAAAGUCUGAUGGUGCAACGCCGCGUGGAGGAUGACGGUCUUCGGAUUGUAAACUCCUGUCAUCCGGGAGUAAGACCUGGCUGUGAAUAGCAGACAGGGUUGAUAGUACCGGAAGAGGAAGGGACGGCUAACUUCGUGCCAGCAGCCGCGGUAAUACGAAGGUCCCGAGCGUUGUUCGGAAUCACUGGGCGUAAAGGGAGCGUAGGCGGCGUGGUAAGUCAGAUGUGAAAUCCCGGGGCUCAACCCCGGAACUGCAUCCGAUACUGCCGUGCUAGAGGAUUGGAGAGGUAGCUGGAAUUCUUGGUGUAGCAGUGAAAUGCGUGGAGAUCAAGAGGAACACUCGUGGCGAAAGCGAGCUACUGGACAAUAUCUGACGCUGAGGCUCGAAGGCCAGGGUAGCGAAAGGGAUUAGAAACCCGAGUAGUCC
rnacentral:rRNA from 1 species